rnacentral:rRNA from 1 species
AAAUUGAAGAGUUUGAUCAUGGCUCAGAUUGAACGCUGGCGGCAGGCCUAACACAUGCAAGUCGAACGGUAACAGGAAGCAGCUUGCUGCUUUGCUGACGAGUGGCGGACGGGUGAGUAAUGUCUGGGAACUGCC